CAGAACAAGUGGACGAAAUUAUAAAUUAAAUUAUUUUAAAUUGGGAGGGUGUCCGUAUGGGGAUUACAUGAUAACCGACUUGGGACAGUUCUGGGAUUGGAGAAGAGGGUAUCCUUAUAGCAUAGGGGAUCCCACAAAGGUGGAUAGGUUUUCCAUGAUAUGGGGGAAACCUGGGAGCACUGUUGAACUUUGUAAAGGUGAUGAAAUCCUACUAACCAUCAAAACUAUUAAGCUCUCUGAUGCAGGCACUUACACCCUCAGACUACAAAGGACCGGGACAGACACGAUGGGUGUGUUUUCUAUUAAGGUGCUGCCAAAACCAGAGGUCCCAGACGAACCGGGGCCAGACACACUCCUCUACCACCCCUGGACCGAACCUGCCACCACUGUGUUAAAAAUCCCAUUCAGGUAAUUCAUGUUAGAGACUAUUCAGCUAUUGAUCAAUUAGGCACAGAGACUGGUUUUGAUGGUAGGGACAAUUUGUGGCUGUCGUAUAUGAGGUAUACAGCUAAGACCCUGAAAAGAAAGGACUGCAUGAGUUACAUGAAACAUUGGUCAUGCUAGACCUGUUCUGGCUACGCACCCAUCUGCUAUAGGAGAACGAGAGGGGUGGUUGUGUAUUCUGAGAGGUUUUUACCAGGUUCAGCCCAAUUCAACUCUCUGUUCCUCUUUGAGCCUUGUGUUUCCUACAGUACCUCCUCAUCGGGCCCCUUUGGGUGUUAAGGCAUAUGGGGGCAAUUACAGUUGCAUCAUGGGUACAGGUAAUGGCAUUGAUUAUGGGAGAUUGCCUGAAGCUGAUUGCAGUAGUAACAUAACCAUUAAUUCCACUUGGCCAGUUACAGGCCUAAACCAAACUAGUGGUCUGGCUGAUGUGUGGUGGAUCUGUGGACCCAAAAGAGUGCUGAGACCCAUUCUUAGAGGAGACUGGCAAGGUAUGUGUGCUCUGACCAGUUUGAUAAUUCCACUGACCAUUGUUGAUGUUACUGCUGAGCAGCUGUUGGGUUCUGUAUCCAGGGGACCUGAAAACAUUCCAUCCCAUGGGAGACAUAGACGUAGUGCUCCAUGGACAGAGGAUGUAGUUGACAUACACACUAACCUGUUGGGAGUGCCAGUGGGGGUUCCUCAUGAGUUUCAGGCCUUGGGUAGGAAUGAUGGACUCUGGCACUUACUACCUAUUAUAGGUCCAGUGGAUGCAAGACAGACUGCAUGGAUUAAUUAUAUCUACUAUAAUCAACAGGGUUUUGUGAAUUACUCCCGUGAUGCACUCACUGGUCUGUCUGAACAGCUUGAGGCCACAUCUAGGGUUGCCAGACAGAGUAGACUUGCUUUGGAUAUGCUUCUUGCCAGUCAGGGGGGCGGCUGCAAGAUGUUCAGUGAACAAUGUUGCACGUAUAUUCCUAAUAACACCAGUCCAGAUGGUAGUAUAUCUAAGGCCCUUAGUGGGCUUGAUGCACUAUCUGCUGAGAUGAGGACCAUGGCGGGGGUGGAGGAGUCUGGACUGUUCUCUUGGUUGGGAGCCUGUUUUGGUAAGUACACUGGUAUGGUGGUUACUGGAUUUCUGACCCUAAUUCUUGUAUUUUUGUUAUUGAUGUGUUGUGCUGCUUGCAUCAUACCGUGUUUAAAGAAGUCUGUUACAGAUGUGGUGAAGGCUUCAGGCAUGAUGCCUUUGCUUGAUGCUCCAGUUGGAGAUGCUGAUACUGAAGCAUGCUUUCAGGGGAGGAUGAGACUGACUGAGGAUGACCCAUGGUUUGGAGUCCCUGGGUGGCAUGGUGCCCACCUGGUGCAGGAUAGGAGUAGCUGAGAGGACCAGAUGGUUUAUAAUAAUGCUUUGCUCUGCUUUACGCUGUUUUCCAUGACUAAAGUUUUAUGUCAAUAAACAAUAGUCUUAUCCUGUUUUUGUCAACAGGGGGAGACAUAAGCAUAUAUCACUUGAUUUUUAUUUUUUCUUGGUUGAUUUUUCUUUUCUGUUUUUCUGUAAAAAAAUCAAUAAAAAUAAAAAUAAUAAUAUUUUAUUAAUAAUAAACCUUUUGUUAUUUUCAUGAAAUGCUAUUAACACAUUACUAUGUUGGGACCGCUGAAAUAAGGGUAAUGAGUGACACCCUGGCGGGUGUCAACAGGGGGAUUGUUGGAUCCUGAUUUUACAUUAUAGCCAUUACCAUAUAUAUGAUUGAAUAUUAUCUGCUGUUGGCUUGUGUGGAUGUAUGUAUGUGUUAUGCAACAUAGCUGACUUGAAACAUUGUUAAAAGUAUCAGGGCCAUGGGACUUUCUCAUGGUGGAAAAAUACAGAGAAGCAUGAAGACAGGAACUGUUCAAAUUAGUUGGGAGGGGGGCACAUUCAGAGCGGGGUGUUGCGAGAACAAGCGGUCUUUUGUUAGAUAACAGGAGGCAGGUGUGAGAUAACGGUAUGGAGCAUGAGAGCCUGGAUGUUCUUCACAUCUAUCAACAGAAGCGCCAAGACGCGGGGCCCGCCUGGGCGCCUGCAAUGGACUGGACAAGUUUAAACCACGCCCAGUCUCUACUGUGAUAGACAGUUCCAACCCGUCUAUCACAGUAUAAAGAAUACUGUUUUACAUACGUCUUGUCAGUUCUCUGUUCUGCCCUGCGUGGUAUUACAGAGAGCCCGAAUAUACGAAAGUUGCAUUUGCCAUUUAUUACUUAGCUAAUAAAAAAUGCAUAGUAUAAAAUCGGUGACUCAUUGUUAUAUUUAUCCUGAUACCAGAUUUGAAUUUACGCAACUCUAACACAACCUUGUUAUUUACGAAGUUUUUGGACCGGAUUCCUGUUGGAACGUUCCACAAAUUAUACCCACCCAAAACAACAUUUACGAGACAGACCUCACCUUGAAGAAGGAUUGUUUUUGCGAUGGACAAACAUUACAAAUACACUUCGUGUGACCCUUGCAAUGAGAAGAGCAAAGCAUGUCACGGAAGCUGUUCUAUGCUGUGUGAUUCUACUCGUCAUCCACAGGAGUUCAGAAAGUAUACGGGUGAUUGGAGGAAGCAUGACUGCUGUACAGGGAGAGGACGUGGACUUAUCCUGCAGACUGCUUCCUGUUGGAAGGUUCCACAAAUUAUACCCACCCAAAACAACAUUUACGAGACAGACCUCACCUUGAAGAAGGAUUGUUUUUGCGAUGGACAAACAUUACAAAUAAUCUUCGUGGUGGUAACACAACAAAAUGUGGAAAAAGUCCAGGGUUGUGAAUCUUUUCUGAAGGCACUUUUAUACGUGACCCUUGCAAUGAGAAGAGCAAAGCAUGUCACGGAAGCUGUUCUAUGCUGUGUGAUUCUACUCGUCAUCCACAGGAGUUCAGAAAGUAUACAGGUGAUUGGAGGAAGCAGGACUGUGGUACAGGGAGAGGACGUGGACCUAUCCUGCAGACUGCUAGAGACAGAUGAGGAGCUUGAACAGAUAACAUGGCAGAAAAGGACUCUGGAAGAACCAGAGAACCAUAAUUUCUUGCUUAUUUAUCCCAGUGGGGUUACUAACUUUAUUUCAUCGAAUGGAUUGGAAAAUAGAGUCCAGUUUUUUGGGAACCCGACAGAAAACAUUGGUUCUAUUCGCAUAACUGCUGCCAGACUGUUGGAUGAAGGCACCUUCACAUGCGUCUUCAGUGUCUUCCCAAGUGGAGUAUACAGUAUAGAGAUACCUCUUACGGUUCUAGUACCUCCAGUGAUGAGUGUUACAGUCGAUGUCCCUCCUGUCAUUGGAGAGAAUGAGGUUGUCUUGGCAUCCUGUUUGGCUGCUGGUGCCAAGCCACAGGCAGAAGUGAGGUGGAACACUGAUGCAUUCGGCAGUUUGGUGAGGACGGUGACCAACUCCACCCAGCACGCCAACAGCACCACCACGGUUGUUAGCCACCUGCUCGGGGUGCCAACCAGAGCAGCCAAUCAGCAGCAUGUUCAGUGUGUGGUCAACCAGUCUGCCCUGGCAACAGAGAGGACCCUGGCCUACACAAUCAACAUCAACUAUCCACCUCAGACAGUGAACAUUACUCUUAGUGAGGCCACCCCAGCCACAGUGUUCCUAUGUGUAGCAGACAGCAACCCAAAAGCCAUCUACACCUGGACCAGAUACCUCUGCUGCCUGUUGGGUUCUACUUGUCAUUAUAUUUCUGAUUGUUGCUGCUGCUGCUGCUGGACUCGUAUGGUACCGGUGGAAAAAUGGAAAAUGUCUUUGGAGUUCAUUCAUGGGCGAUCACCAGUUCGAGGCACAAUCACAGGUUGAGGAAGAGGAAGUUGGGAUGGAAACCAUGAGGGCAGAUGAGGAAGAAGUAUCAUAAGGCUUCAAGGCAUCUCCAUGUUAGCAUCACCUACUGGUAUGGCUACUGCUCAGCAACCACAAAGCGCUUCAGAGGGUAGUGCGUACGGACCACUACAUCACUGGGCCUAAGCUUUCUCCCAUCCAGGACUGAUAUACCAGACGGUGUCAGAGGAAGGCCCUAAAAAUUCUGACUCCAUCCAUCCCAGACAUAGUCUGUUCUCUCUGCUACCGCACGGCAAGCUGUACCAGACCACAAGUAUAGGUCCAAAAGACUCCUUAACAGCUUCUAUACAAAUCCAUAAGACUGUUGAACAGUUAAUCAAAUGGCUACCCAGACUAUUUUGUAUUGACCACCCCCCUCCUUUUUUUACACUUCAACAAGUUACUGAGUAAAGGUAAAUAAAGAUAAAUGUAAAUGUGA